CUCGGCUGCGGGUGGCGCCCCGGAGUCCGAGGAAGCGGCGGGGGACGCAGGACGCUCUCCGAGGUCGCCCCCGGGCAGAGGAUUUCCAGACCUGAUCAGGGAGCCGGACUCCUCUGUGUCACCGCUUAGAACACACAUCCUUUCUUUGCUAUCAACAUCGUUGAUCAUCAACCACCGCAGACAUCUGCAUGUGUGACUUUAAAAAGCCAAUGCAGCAGCAUUUUGGUUGAAGGUGCUGUCGCCUCUCUCUGACUCCAUCCUGGCUGAGAAGACGGUGACCGUCCUGGAUGACCGUGUCACCAUCGUGGACCUGGGCGUGCAGUUGGUGGCCUGCUUGUCUCUUUCCCUGAAGCCUCACAGGUCGGACAAAAGAGCCGUCAUCUCAACAGUGGCUGCCCAGGGCGUUCU